AUGGUCAAAAUUCUCCAAGCUAGGCUUCAGCAAUACGUGAACCGUGAACUCCCUGAUGUUCAAGCUGGUUUUAGAAAAGGCAGAGGAACCAGAGAUCAAAUUGCCAACAUCCGCUGGAUCGUGGAAAAAGCAAGAGAGUUCCAGCAAAACAUCUAUUUCUGCUUUAUUGACUAUGCCAAAGCCUUUGACUGUGUGGAUCACAAGAAACUGUGGAAAAUUCUGAAAGAGAUGGGAAUACCAGACCACCUGACCUGCCUCUUGAGAAAUCUGUAUGGAGGUCAGGAAGCAACAGUUAGAACUGGACAUGGAACAACAGACUGGUUCCAAGUAGGAAAAGGAGUACGUCAAGGCUGUAUAUUGUCACCCUGCUUAUUUAACUUAUAUGCAGAGUACAUCAUGAGAAACGCUGGGCUGGAAGAAACACAAGCUGGAAUCAAGAUUGCCAGGAGAAAUAUCAGUAACCUCAGAUAUGCAGAUGACACCACCCUUAGGGCAGAAAGUGAAGAGGAACUAAAAAGCCUCUUGAUGAAAGUGAAAGAGGAGAGCGAAAAAGUUGGCUUAAAGCUCAACAUUCAGAAAACGAAAAUCAUGGCAUCCGGUCCCAUCACUUCAUGGGAAAUAGAUGGGGAAACAGUGGAAACAGUGUCAGACUUUAUUUUGGGGGGCUCCAAAAUCACUGCAGAUGGUGACUGCAGCCAUGAAAUUAAAAGAUGCUUACUCCUUGGAAGAAAAGUUAUGACCAACCUAGAUAGUAUAUUCAAAAGCAGAGACAUUACUUUGCCGACUAAGGUCCGUCUAGUCAAGGCUAUGGUUUUUCCAGUGGUCAUGUAUGGAUGUGAGAGUUGGACUGUGAAGAAGAAGAAGAAGACUGAGCGCCAAAGAAUUGAUGCUUUUGAACUGUGGUGUUGGAGAAGACUCUUGAGAGUCCCUUGGACUGCAAGGAGAUCCAACCAGUCCAUUCUGAAGGAGAUCAACCCUGGGAUUUGUUUGGAAGGAAUGAUGCUAAAGCUGAAACUCCAGUACUUUGGCCACCUCAUGAGAAGAGUUGACUCAUUGUAA
rnacentral:lncRNA from 1 species